rnacentral:lncRNA from 1 species
GCCCCCGCCCAGGCUGUCUCCGCGGCGCCUUCUCCUCCGGGAGGACUGGCCGGCUGGGGAGGGAGUCCGGCUGCGGGGGAGGAAGGGGGGGCGAGAAAGUUCUGCCCCAGGGGCUGGAGGGAGCGCGAGUCUCCACCGCCGGCGCAGCGCCUCUCCGUGGGGGCUCCACCGCCGGGGCGGCGGACGAGUGCUGCCCGCUCGUCGCCCCCACCUCCUACUGCGGCUGUGUCGUCGGGAGGGGAGCUCGGGCGCCUUCUUCCUGGUGCCGCGGACCCGGGCUGCGAGCUCCGGGCCCGAGGGGAGGGGGCGAGGGUGCCGGGUGCUGGCCGCCGUGGGCUCUUGGCCCCCUCCCCGGAGUGGCUGGUGCCUGGAAGCUCGAAAGGGGUGGUCUCUUCCUCUCCCUGGGGGCCCCCCUACGAGCUGCGUCCUCUCCCCGCCAGGCUCACUGGGGCGAAGGCUAGAGGGCUCAGUGCCACCCGGUGCCCGGGUCCAAUCUUGCUGAAGUCGCCGGGGGAGGGAGGGGGUGGCCGCCGAGAGGAGCUUCUCCCCUCCGCAGCGUCGGCCGUUCCGCUGGCGGCGGCUGGGUUUGCACGGCCGGAGGGAGCCGCCGCGGCCACCGCUUCCAGGACGCACGAGAGCAGAGGAGAGGAGCGCACGCACGCAGGCUCCCGCCGCCCCCAGGCCCGGCCGGCGCCCCGGCCGCCGCGGCUGGCGGCGCUCACGUUGGCUGCAGGGCGCUCGCGCGGCGCCUCGGCCCGGGUCGCAUCCCUUCCCGCUCGCACUCGCCCGGAAUGUGGGGUUGUGAUUGUUACUCUACGUUCCGGAGGCGCGUCUCGGCGCUCCCGCUCGCGCUGCGGCUCGCGCUGUCCCCGGCUUGGCCGCGCGGGAUGCCGCCCGGGCGGAGCGCUGACGUCACCGCCAUGCUCUGCACCACUUCUCCCCCCUCCCUCCCCUUUACACUUCCUCUGUCUGUGGAGCCACUUGUUGCUCGGGGAGGGCGCAUGCGCGGCAGGGCGCCCAGAUUCCUCCCCGGCGGCCCCGCCUCCGCGCCUCCGCCUUCCCCUCCCCCCUCCCCGUGUGUGUACAACAGCUGAGGCCCGGCGAGCUAAUGCUGGAAGUCCUGGGCUGGGGGUGGAAAUUAAACAGACGAUGACCUUUCCUUUCCCCGCCCGGCUUUCCCAAGUAAAAACGCAUUUGAAAACCACAAGCGUCAUUUCCGAUCCCGCUCCCCACCCCACCCCGGGCAGUGCAUUUAAAUGUCCAGUUUCAGGAUUUUCGUCGCGAAUCUCAUUCUCGUUUUAUCUGUAA